AUUGAACGCUGGCGGCAGGCCUAACACAUGCAAGUCGAGCGGCAGCGGGAAAGUAGCUUGCUACUUUUGCCGGCGAGCGGCGGACGGGUGAGUAAUGCCUGGGAAAUUGCCCAGUCGAGGGGGAUAACAGUUGGAAACGACUGCUAAUACCGCAUAGGCCCUACGGGGGAAAGCAGGGGACCUUCGGGCCUUGCGCGAUUGGAUAUGCCCAGGUGGGAUUAGCUAGUUGGUGAGGUAAUGGCUCACCAAGGCGACGAUCCCUAGCUGGUCUGGGAGGAUGAGCAGCCACACUGGAACUGAGACACGGUCCAGACUCCUACGGGAGGCAGCAGUGGGGAAUAUUGCACAAUGGGGGAAACCCUGAUGCAGCCAUGCCGCGUGUGAAGAAGGCCUUCGGGUUGUAAAGCACUUUCAGCGAGGAGGAAAGGUUGAUGCCUAAUACGUAUCAACUGUGACGUUACUCGCAGAAGAAGCACCGGCUAACUCCGUGCCAGCCGCCGCAGUAA
rnacentral:rRNA from 1 species